rnacentral:lncRNA from 1 species
CCUACACCAUCACCUUCUUUCGAAAGUACGUUCUCCGGCAAAACGCUCACAGUCGCAAUAGGAUCAUCUCCAUGUACAGAUUUAAUCUCUACACCUCUUGUCGUAGCAGUAUCAUCAACAUUAUCCCCAAACUCAUUUAUAUCUAAGACAUCUUCAUCGACCACCCGCUGAAAAAAGGGAGAAGAAGAACAAAUCAGUCAUCAUUAUAC